rnacentral:rRNA from 1 species
CCUUUUGUAUAAUGGGUCAGCGACUUAUAUUCUGUAGCAAGGUUAACCGAAUAGGGGAGCCGAAGGGAAACCGAGUCUUAACUGGGCGUUAAGUUGCAGGGUAUAGACCCGAAACCCGGUGAUCUAGCCAUGGGCAGGUUGAAGGUUGGGUAACACUAACUGGAGGACCGAACCGACUAAUGUUGAAAAAUUAGCGGAUGACUUGUGGCUGGGGGUGAAAGGCCAAUCAAACCGGGAGAUAGCUGGUUCUCCCCGAAAGCUAUUUAGGUAGCGCCUCGUGAAUUCAUCUCCGGGGGUAGAGCACUGUUUCGGCAAGGGGGUCAUCCCGACUUACCAACCCGAUGCAAACUGCGAAUACCGGAGAAUGUUAUCACGGGAGACACACGGCGGGUGCUAACGUCCGUCGUGAAGAGGGAAACAACCCAGACCGCCAGCUAAGGUCCCAAAGUCAUGGUUAAGUGGGAAACGAUGUGGGAAGGCCCAGACAGCCAGGAUGUUGGCUUAGAAGCAGCCAUCAUUUAAAGAAAGCGUAAUAGCUCACUGGUCGAGUCGGCCUGCGCGGAAGAUGUAACGGGGCUAAACCAUGCACCGAAGCUGCGGCAGCGACGCUGAUGCGUUGUUGGGUAGGGGAGCGUUCUGUAAGCCUG